GUAAAGUUUGAUUCUAGCUUAUUUAAUUUGUUAAUUGGAUGAUUGUACAUGCAAAUAUUUGUGUGAUGUAGUUUUUCCUUGAUGGGAGUAAUUUUUAUUUGCAGUUCUUAAUUUUAAGAUUUAAGGGUUCUUAGAUUUAGUUAAUUCAAGAAAUCUUGGCAAAGGUUGUGCCAGCAGCCGCGGUUAUACAUCUGAGGUGAAUGAAUUUUUUUGGGAUUAAUUUAAUUUUUUAUUUUUAAUUAAAAGUGCACUUUUAGGUGAAAUUUGAAGUGUAUAAAAUUUAUAAUUUAUGAUUAAAUUGGAAAAUCUGUAAUUAAAUUAGGAUUAGAUACCCUAUUAUUUAAGAUCGUUAAUUUAAGACCUUAGUAUUAAUAGUUAUGUUCUUAAAAUUAAAAGAAUUUGGCGGUAAUUUAGUCUUUUUAGAGGAACCUGUCCUGUAAUUGAUAAUCCACGAUAAAUUUUACUUUAUUUAUUACUUGUAUACCUCUGUCAUGAAUGUUUUAUUAGAAUAUUUUCUGAGAUUUUUAUGGAAAAAUAUGUCAGGUCAAGGUGUAGUUAUAAUAAAGAAGAGAUGGGUUACAUUAAUAUUAUUUAUGGAUUUAAUUAUGUAAAUAUUAAUGAAAUUGGAUUUAGAAGUAAAAGGAAUUAGAAUAUUCUUUUGAUAAAAGCUCUGAAUUAUGCACACAUCGCCCGUCGCUCUCGUUGAUUAGAAAGAUGAGAUAAGUCGUAACAAAGUAGGCCUACCGGAAGGUGGGCCUGGUUAGUC
rnacentral:ncRNA from 1 species